GACGAACGCUGGCGGCGUGCUUAACACAUGCAAGUCGAACGGAAAGGCCCUGCUUUUGUGGGGUGCUCGAGUGGCGAACGGGUGAGUAACACGUGAGUAACCUGCCCUUGACUUUGGGAUAACUUCAGGAAACUGGGGCUAAUACCGGAUAGGAGCUCCUGCUGCAUGGUGGGGGUUGGAAAGUUUCGGCGGUUGGGGAUGGACUCGCGGCUUAUCAGCUUGUUGGUGGGGUAGUGGCUUACCAAGGCUUUGACGGGUAGCCGGCCUGAGAGGGUGACCGGCCAAAUUGGGACUGAGAUACGGCCGAGACUCCUACGGGAGGCAGCAGUGGGGAAUAUUGCACAAUGGGCGGAAGCCUGAUGCAGCAACGCCGCGUGCGGGAUGACGGCCUUCGGGUUGUAAACCGCUUUCGCCUGUGACGAAGCGUGAGUGACGGCAAUGGGUAAAGAAGCACCGGCUAACUACGUG
rnacentral:rRNA from 1 species